rnacentral:rRNA from 1 species
UCCUACGGGACGCAGCAGUAGGGAAUCUUCCACAAUGGGCGAAAGCCUGAUGGAGCAACGCCGCGUGGGUGAAGAAGGUCUUCGGAUCGUAAAACCCUGUUGUUAGAGAAGAAAGUGCGUGAGAGUAACUGUUCACGUUUCGACGGUAUCUAAUCAGAAAGCCACGGCUAACUACGUGCCAGCAGCCGCGGUAAUACGUAGGUGGCAAGCGUUAUCCGGAUUUAUUGGGCGUAAAGGGAACGCAGGCGGGUUUUUAAGUAUGAUGUGAAAUCCUUCGGAUUAACCGGAGUAGGGCUUUGGAAACU